CACUGGAGUUGAGAUGUGUGUGAGUGUACAGUAUUACUCACAGGAACACUGGAGUUGAGAUGUGUGUGUGAGUUUACUGUAUUACUCACAGGAACACUGGAGUUGAGAUAUGUGUGUGAGUGUACUGUAUUACUCACAGGAACACUGGAGUUGAGAUAUGUGUGUGAGUGUACUGUAUUACUCACAGGAACACUGGAGUUGAGAUGUGUGUGAGUGUACUGUAUUACUCACAGGAACACUGGAGUUGAGAUGUGUGUGAGUGUACUGUAUUACUCACAGGAACACUGGAGUUGAGAUAUGUGUGUGAGUGUACUGUAUUACUCACAGGAACACUGGAGUUGAGAUAUGUGUGUGAGUGUACUGUAUUACUCACAGGAACACUGGAGUUGAGAUGUGUGUGAGUGUACUGUAUUACUCACAGGAACACUGGAGUUGAGAUGUGUGUGAGUGUACUGUAUUACUCACA